AGGACGAACGCUGGCGGCGUGCUUAACACAUGCAAGUCGAGCGGUAAGGCCUUUCGGGGUACACGAGCGGCGAACGGGUGAGUAACACGUGGGUGAUCUGCCCUGCACUUCGGGAUAAGCCUGGGAAACUGGGUCUAAUACCGGAUAUGGCCUCAGGUUGCAUGACUUGGGGUGGAAAGAUUUAUCGGUGCAGGAUGGGCCCGCGGCCUAUCAGCUUGUUGGUGGGUAAUGGCCUACAAGGCGACGACGGGUA
rnacentral:rRNA from 1 species